AUCCUUUUGUAGUUCAUAAGUGUGAUGAUUGGGUGGUCAUAUGUACAUAUGAGAAGUCCUUCCCUCAGAUUUUGUUAAGGCAUCAGGAUAUUACCCAUCUGAUG
ensembl:snoRNA